CCUAAUCUAAUCCAUAAACAUAUUUUUAUUAGUAUUUAGCGAAUAAUAAAUUACAUAUACGAGAAAACAGAUCAAAAUGUGUAUACCUUUUUAAAGGAAUUAAUUUACUGCUGUUACGCUGAUAAUAGUACUCAAAUGCAUUUAAGGCUCUGCAUUAGGACGUAAUAGAUCCAGCAGGAACAGUUUUGGUUAUCCACCACCACCACCACCACCACCAAGAAAAGUCGAAAAAUGCCAAUGCUUACCUGUUUUCCCAUUUGCGUAGUUUCUGGGGUGCAUUUGCGCAAUGCGCAUGACGCAGCUCUAAAACCCCGGACUCGAUGCAGUGCCGGAUUUAUGAAUUGACGUCGUCGCAGCGAAUUGGGUCAGCAGCGUUGUAAUAGGCGCCAGGGAGGGGGAAGUGCGUAACAGUGUUGCGAUUUAAAACGCAAUUGCCAAUAUACAAGAAAUUAUUGUUACAUUAAAAACGUUUAUUAACUUAGAAUGAACCAAAUUUGUAGCCUGGGCUAUUAUAUAUAUAUAUUAUAAUAUCGAGCAAACUUUGUGUUAAUGUUGGGCUGAAGAUGCCGCAAUAAAGACGCAAAACUUAGUUUAAUAAUUAAA